rnacentral:misc_RNA from 1 species
GAUGAAGAACGUAGCGAAAUGCGAUAAGUAGUGUGAAUUGCAGAAUUCAGUGAAUCAUCGAAUCUUUGAACGCACAUUGCGCCCCUUGGUAUUCCAUGGGGCAUGCCUGUUCGAGCGUCAUUUGUACCUUCAAGCUUUGCUUGGUGUUGGGUGUUUGUCUCGCCUUUGCGUGUAGACUCGCCUUAAAACAAUUGGCAGCCGGCGUAUUGAUUUCGGAGCGCAGUACAUCUCGCGCUUUGCACUCAUAACGACGACGUCCAAAAGUACAUUUUUACACUCUUGACCUCGGAUCAGGUAGGGAUACCCGCUGAACUUAAGCAUAUCAAUAAGCGGAGGA